AGGACGAACGCUGGCGGCGUGCUUAACACAUGCAAGUCGAGCGGAAAGGCCCUUCGGGGUACUCGAGCGGCGAACGGGUGAGUAACACGUGAGCAACCUGCCCUUAGCUCUGGGAUAGCUCCGGGAAACCGGAAUUAAUACCGGAUACGACCUAGGCCGACAUCGGCCGUGGUGGAAAGUUUUUCGGCUAGGGAUGGACUCGCGGCCUAUCAGCUAGUUGGUGGGGUAAAGGCCUACCAAGGCGACGACGGGUAG
rnacentral:rRNA from 1 species